rnacentral:rRNA from 1 species
GACGAACGCUGGCGGCGUGCUUAACACAUGCAAGUCGAACGGAAAGGCCCUGCUUUUGUGGGGUGCUCGAGUGGCGAACGGGUGGGUAACACGUGAGUAACCUGCCCUUGACUUUGGGAUAACUUCAGGAAACUGGGGCUAAUACCGGAUAGGAGCUCCUGCUGCAUGGUGGGGGUUGGAAAGUUUCGGCGGUUGGGGAUGGACUCGCGGCGUAUCAGCUUGUUGGUUGGGUAGUGGCUUACCAAAGCUUUGACGGGUAGCCGGCCUGAGAGGGUGACCGGCCACAUUGGGACUGAGAUACGGCCCAGACUCCUACGGGAGGCAGCAGUGGGGAAUAUUGCACAAUGGGGGGAAGCCUGAUGCAGAAACGCCGCGUGCGGGAUGACGGCCUUCGGGUUGUAAGCCGCUUUCGCCUGUGACGAAGCGUGAGUGGCGGUAAUGGGUAAAGAAGCACCGGCUAACUACGUG